rnacentral:lncRNA from 1 species
UGCCAGCCUGGGGGUGGAGGGUGUGGUCCCCAUGGCUUGUGGGAGGGAGGGCCCAGAGGGGCAAAGUCACCACCCUGAGGCCACCAGGAGAUCCCUGCAGAGGGCAGAGUGGGUUGGGGCCUGCCUUAGGGUCUGUUCCCUUUGAGCUCGGUGGGACAGGGUCAUCUCGAGGGUCCCAGUGUUUUUUUCUGGUCCCUGCCCCAGUGUCUAAUGGGACACAGCCCCUCACAUCCCCAGUCUGUGGGGGGCAGAGGUCAUGGGUCACUGACAUCCCCUGGCUCAUUCCUCCCACAUUCACCCAACAGACCCCUUAUCCUCCAUCCCCCUGCCGAGAUUGGGGAUUGGCUCAGGGCCUGUUCUCCCCACUGAGUUUGGUGGGAUGGGGCCAUCUUGAGGGUCUGGGUGUUUUUCUCAGGUGGGACCUAGAUCCCCACAGUCCCUCACGUGCCCAAUCUGUGGGGUGGGCAUGGGGUCACCAAGGUCACCUGGUUCAUUCUUCCCCCAUCCAGAUUCCGUCUCUAGAGCCUUUGAGGUCACUCCUGAUGCUGACAUGGCUGUGAAGAGCUGGGUGCCAGGCAUUACUGCCUCCAAGGUUGCUUUGCGAGGAAUAGGUGGGGCAUCAGGAAGAAGCCAGUUGCAGCCAUCCAUGGGAGGGAGCUGUGAGAUGGCCUGGCAGAACCCGCUCUCGGACCCCACAGAAUGAGAGGCUCACCCUGCACAGGAACAUCCUGGGGCAGCAGGCUCAGCACAUUUUAAAUUUUGAGUAUGAACAAAGUAAACUUCAGGGUUAAAAAAAAAACACAAAAAUUUGUCGAGCACACAAUGAUUGAGUGCCUAUGGUAUACCUGAUGCUUUGCCAUAUCCAGGCUUCAAACCUCAGGGUUCUGGGUCCUUUGAGGCCCAGCUCCAACCCCACCUCACCCAAGCACUCUCCACCCCCACCACGUAACCUUACCAGGGCUGCCCAGCUUGGGUCAUCUCAG